rnacentral:lncRNA from 14 species
CUUGCAGCAAGCAGCUUCUCAGCAGAACGGCUACAUUGCACAAGCUGCAUUUUUGGAGGAGCUCAGUGGAAGAAAGCUCUGGGAUUUUAUUUUAGAUCCACUUUAUUUUGUUUUCUUUGGCUUUGCCCUUCCUCUUGAUCAUUUGCAACAGCAACAACAACAACAAAAAAAGUGACUUGGUAUUGGCGAUUCGGCCUCCGGUUCAUUGAGGAAAAAAAAGGAAAGUGUGAGAGACUUGAGUGAUUUCUUUUUAGGAGCAAAGAAAACCCACCCCGAUCCGGAGAGGUGUUUUUAUUAUUAUAAUAGUAUAUACGCGCACACACGUAUUUCUAAUCGAUCUGGGAGAGGGACCUAACUUUGCUCUGGACUUUUUUACGUGGUGAUCAUUCUUACUUUAAUUUGCAAGUUGGACUAAAGCAGAGUUUGGAAAAGAACUUUUUUUGUUUUGCUUUAGGGCUGGAUUUAUUUGCAAGCCGCAGGAAGAAGAAAAUACAAGAGAGAGAGGGGUUUGGUGCAGCGCCGCGAUCACGGAAUUCAGAUGUGUUCUAAGCCUGCCGGGGU